GAUGAACGCUGGCGGCGUGCCUAAUACAUGCAAGUCGAGCGAACAGACGAGGAGCUUGCUCCUCUGACGUUAGCGGCGGACGGGUGAGUAACACGUGGAUAACCUACCUAUAAGACUGGGAUAACUUCGGGAAACCGGAGCUAAUACCGGAUAAUAUAUUGAACCGCAUGGUUCAAUAGUGAAAGACGGUUUUGCUGUCACUUAUAGAUGGAUCCGCGCCGCAUUAGCUAGUUGGUAAGGUAACGGCUUACCAAGGCAACGAUGCGUAGCCGACCUGAGAGGGUGAUCGGCCAAACUGGAAAUGAGAAACGGUCCAGACUCCUACGGGAGGCAGCAGGAGGGAAUCUUCCGCAAUGGGGGAAAGCUUGACGGAGCAAAGCCGCGUGAGUGAUGAAGGUCUUCGGAUCGUAAAACUCUGUUAUUAGGGAAGAACAAAUGUGUAAGUAACUAUGCAAGUCUUGAAGGUAACUAAUCAGAAAGCCACGGCUAAAUACGUG
rnacentral:rRNA from 1 species